GCCUGGGUGGCUCAGUCGGUUGAGCGUCCGACUUCGGCUCAGGUCAUGAUCUCGCGGUCCGUGAGUUCAAGCCCCGUCUCGGGCU
rfam:Felis catus isolate Cinnamon breed Abyssinian chromosome D4, whole genome shotgun sequence.